UAAACAUUUUAGCAAUUUCUUCUUUCCUGCCUGCUGAAGACUGACUUCCUCCUGCUGCCAAAGUUCUAGAGUCUGGACGUCUGAGAUCAGGGUGCCAGCACUGUCGAGGUCACAGACUGCAGACCUCCUUGUAUCUUCAAAUGGAGGAAAGAGGACAAGAGAGCUCCUGUGGUCCCUUUUAUCAAGAUGAAUGCACAAGGAAAAUGUUGUACAUUUGCACAUUGGAGUACACUUCAGCCAUAAAAAGAAUGAGAUGCUGUCAUUUGCAACAACAGGUCAACAGCAAUCUGAGACACACUCUUCUCAUGGCAGAUUAUGGGACCAUAAAGCAGUCUCACUCUGUCGCCCAGGCUGGAGUUCAGUGGCAUGAUCUCGGCUCACUGCAACCUCUGCCUCCCCGGUUCAAGCGAUUCUCCUGCCUCAGCAUCCCAAGCAGCUGGAAUUACAACCACAUGCCACCAUGACCAGCUAAUUUUUGUAUUUUUAGUAGAGGCGAGGUUUCACCACAUUGGUCAGGCUGGAAUUGCAUCUUUUUAAUGACUGUAGGCCA
rnacentral:lncRNA from 1 species